rnacentral:rRNA from 1 species
UGGUCAAAAAGCUCGUAGUUGGAUCUCGGCGGUCUGAGGGCGGUUCGCUUGAUUGAGUGCUACUGCUCUAUAGGCCGUGGUUUUGCCAGAGGUCUCGGGGUGCUCUUAACCGAGUGUCCUGCGAUGCUGGCAGGUUUACUUUGAAAAAAUUAGAGUGCUCAAAGCAGGCUUUUACGCCUGAAUAUUCGUGCAUGGAAUAAUAGAAUAGGAAGUCGUUUCUACUUUGUUGGUUUUCGGAAAUCGACUUAAUGAUUAAUAGGGACAGUCGGGGGCAUUUGUAUUCAAACGACAGAGGUGAAAUUCUUGGACCGUUUGAAGACAAACUACUGCGAAAGCAUUUGCCAAGAAUGUUUUCAUUAAUCAAGAACGAAAGUUAGAGGUUCGAAGGCGAUUAGAUACCGCCCUAGUUCUAACCAUAAACGAUGCCAGCUAGCGAUCUGCCGACGUUUUCUUUGUAGACUCGGCAG